GAUGAACGCUAGCGGCAGGCUUAACACAUGCAAGUCGAACGGUAACAUAGUGCUUGCACUGAUGACGAGUGGCGAACGGGUGCGUAACGCGUAUGCAACCUACCUCUUAUUAAGGGAUAGCUCAGAGAAAUUUGGAUUAAUACCUCAUGGUAUUAUUGAUAGGCAUCUAUUAAUAAUUAAAGGUUACGGCAAAAGAUGAGUAUGCGUCCCAUUAGCUAGUUGGUGAAGUAACGGUUCACCAAGGCAACGAUGGGUAGGGGUCCUGAGAGGGAGAUCCCCCACACUGGUACUGAGACACGGACCAG
rnacentral:rRNA from 1 species